rnacentral:rRNA from 1 species
UACGGGGGGUGCGAGCGUUGUCCGGAAUCAUCGGGCGUAAAGAGCGCGUAGGCGGUCCGGUAAGUCCGCUCUGAAAGUCCGGGGCUCAACCCCGGGAGGCGGGCGGAUACUGUCGGGCUAGAGUCCGGAAGAGGCGAGUGGAAUUCCUGGUGUAGCGGUGAAAUGCGCAGAUAUCAGGAAGAACACCAAUGGCGAAGGCAGCUCUCUGGGACGGUACUGACGCUGAGACGCGAAAGCGUGGGGAGCGAACAGG